rnacentral:lncRNA from 1 species
AAUCAAUCAAUUACAUAAAACCUGUAGGUCCUGCUCAUUAGGGCAGGUCCCGCCUGAUCGCUCAGCCUCCUGCAGCUUUCCCUUCCUCUAUUCCCCCUCAAAGGCACUCCUAUCAUCCCCGUUUUAUGGAUGAGUAAACUGAGGCUCCGAAGGACCAGGAGGCUCGUCUGGGUCACGCAGCACAGCCGGGGCCCUGGGGGGCUGAGCCCAGCUCUCUGGCGCUCCCGAGCGCUGCCUCUUCCAGGGACUCAAGAAACCCAGCCCAGCAAGGCCACAGGAACUGUCUGCCUUCUGGUCCAUUCCUGUGAGGUCCUACUAGCAAGUCCACUUCAACUUCAACAGGCCUUUGGCUCUGAUCCCCGGUGGAAGCAUCACCAUCCCCUCCGCCCGCCCUGGACCAGGACCGCCAGCAGAGCCGAGAUCGCGGAGCUGGCAGCACACACUCCACACGCAGGGGGCCAAGAAGGAGGGGCAGGGGCCAGUCACGCCUCUGCCCUUGGUCUCGGGCCCCAUGCGCUGCCUGUCAGUUCGGGGCAUAUACCGUAUCCUGGAAAAGGGGGAGCACAGUGGUCGGUCCUGCACCGAGCCUUGGAUGGGCCAUUCUUUCAACUGCAGCCUCCCCGAGAUGCAGUUAGCGGCAGCACGAGUGGAUCCCAUGGCCUAGGGUUCAAUGUCGCACCUUCCUUGCUGCAAAAUGGGACCCUUGGUCUGAGGUCAGCCUGUAUAGGCUAUGUGGUCCAUAUUCAUAAAUUGAACGCUGACUCUGGUCUGUGUGAUUUUCUACCCACCCUGCUGGGUGGAGAAUUGGGGACCCAGGGAGCACCCAUGUGGCACGUAUCUCCUUUCAUUUCUCAGUGGGUUUGGUUCUAAGGGGUUUCCCUGACAGACAGGAGAUAGCCUUUUCUCCCCGAGUCUUGUCUGGAGUAGAGUCGAGAGGUGUCGCUUUUCUUUCCAGUUCCGACAAGGGAUCAGGUAAGCCCGAGAGAGGCUCUCCGGAAUUCCCCAAGCAUGGCAGCCAGACCAGAGGGCAGGUGAGGGCCUCCUGGACGAUUCUGCAGCUUAAGUCAGAAGCGAUCCAAACACUGUCCCAUCUGGAGGGCGAUCCUGUCACCAUUCUAAACCUGUUUACUUUGGUGAUGUCACAAACGCUGAUGAUUUAGGGGCUUGGAG